GACGAACGCUGGCGGCGUGCCUAAUACAUGCAAGUAGAACGCACAGGAUGCACCGUAGUUUACUACACCGUAUUCUGUGAGUUGCGAACGGGUGAGUAACGCGUAGGUAACCUGCCUGGUAGCGGGGGAUAACUAUUGGAAACGAUAGCUAAUACCGCAUAAGAACAUUUACUGCAUGGUAGAUGUUUAAAAGGUGCAAAUGCAUCACUACCAGAUGGACCUGCGUUGUAUUAGCUAGUAGGUGAGGUAACGGCUCACCUAGGCGACGAUACAUAGCCGACCUGAGAGGGUGAUCGGCCACACUGGGACUGAGACACGGCCCAGACUCCUACGGGAGGCAGCAGUAGGGAAUCUUCGGCAAUGGGGGGAACCCUGACCGAGCAACGCCGCGUGAGUGAAGAAGGUUUUCGGAUCGUAAAGCUCUGUUGUUAAGGAAGAACGAGUGUGAGAAUGGAAAGUUCAUACCUGUG
rnacentral:rRNA from 1 species